CUCCCCAGAAGGAAUCCAGGUAAAAAAGGCACACCUGUAACUCCAGUAAUGGGGAGGCAGAAGCAGGAGGAU
rnacentral:miRNA from 1 species